rnacentral:rRNA from 1 species
AAAUUGAAGAGUUUGAUCAUGGCUCAGAUUGAACGCUGGCGGCAGGCCUAACACAUGCAAGUCGAACGGUAACAGGAAACAGCUUGCUGUUUCGCUGACGAGUGGCGGACGGGUGAGUAAUGUCUGGGAACCUGCCUGAUGGAGGGGGAUAACUACUGGAAACGGUAGCUAAUACCGCAUAACGUCGCAAGACCAAAGAGGGGGACCUUCGGGCCUCUUGCCAUCGGAUGUGCCCAGAUGGGAUUAGCUAGUAGGUGGGGUAACGGCUCACCUAGGCGACGAUCCCUAGCUGGUCUGAGAGGAUGACCAGCCACACUGGAACUGAGACACGGUCCAGACUCCUACGGGAGGCAGCAGUGGGGAAUAUUGCACAAUGGGCGCAAGCCUGAUGCAGCCAUGCCGCGUGUAUGAAGAAGGCCUUCGGGUUGUAAAGUACUUUCAGCGGGGAGGAAGGGAGUAAAGUUAAUACCUUUGCUCAUUGACGUUACCCGCAGAAGAAGCACCGGCUAACUCCGUGCCAGCAGCCGCGGUAAUACGGAGGGUGCAAGCGUUAAUCGGAAUUACUGGGCGUAAAGCGCACGCAGGCGGUUUGUUAAGUCAGAUGUGAAAUCCCCGGGCUCAACCUGGGAACUGCAUCUGAUACUGGCAAGCUUGAGUCUCGUAGAGGGGGGUAGAAUUCCAGGUGUAGCGGUGAAAUGCGUAGAGAUCUGGAGGAAUACCGGUGGCGAAGGCGGCCCCCUGGACGAAGACUGACGCUCAGGUGCGAAAGCGUGGGGAGCAAACAGGAUUAGAUACCCUGGUAGUCCACGCCGUAAACGAUGUCGACUUGGAGGUUGUGCCCUUGAGGCGUGGCUUCCGGAGCUAACGCGUUAAGUCGACCGCCUGGGGAGUACGGCCGCAAGGUUAAAACUCAAAUGAAUUGACGGGGGCCCGCACAAGCGGUGGAGCAUGUGGUUUAAUUCGAUGCAACGCGAAGAACCUUACCUGGUCUUGACAUCCACGGAAGUUUUCAGAGAUGAGAAUGUGCCUUCGGGAACCGUGAGACAGGUGCUGCAUGGCUGUCGUCAGCUCGUGUUGUGAAAUGUUGGGUUAAGUCCCGCAACGAGCGCAACCCUUAUCCUUUGUUGCCAGCGGUCCGGCCGGGAACUCAAAGGAGACUGCCAGUGAUAAACUGGAGGAAGGUGGGGAUGACGUCAAGUCAUCAUGGCCCUUACGACCAGGGCUACACACGUGCUACAAUGGCGCAUACAAAGAGAAGCGACCUCGCGAGAGCAAGCGGACCUCAUAAAGUGCGUCGUAGUCCGGAUUGGAGUCUGCAACUCGACUCCAUGAAGUCGGAAUCGCUAGUAAUCGUGGAUCAGAAUGCCACGGUGAAUACGUUCCCGGGCCUUGUACACACCGCCCGUCACACCAUGGGAGUGGGUUGCAAAAGAAGUAGGUAGCUUAACCUUCGGGAGGGCGCUUACCACUUUGUGAUUCAUGACUGGGGUGAAGUCGUAACAAGGUAACCGUAGGGGAACCUGCGGUUGGAUCACCUCCUUACCUUAAAGAAGC